UACGUAGGGUGCAAGCGUUAAUCGGAAUUACUGGGCGUAAAGCGUGCGCAGGCGGUUUCGUAAGUCUGUCGUGAAAUCCCCGGGCUUAACCUGGGAAUGGCGAUGGAGACUGCGAGGCUAGAGUUUGGCAGAGGGGGGUAGAAUUCCACGUGUAGCAGUGAAAUGCGUAGAUAUGCGGAGGAACACCGAUGGCGAAGGCAAUCCCCUGGGCCUGCACUGACGCUCAUGCACGAAAGCGUGGGGAGCAAACAGG
rnacentral:rRNA from 1 species